rfam:Dipodomys ordii contig_79842, whole genome shotgun sequence.
GGUGGCUCAGUGCUAGAGCGCUUGUCUUGCAUGCAUGAGGCCCUGGGUUCGAUUCCCCAGCACCA